rnacentral:lncRNA from 1 species
CACCCUGAACUCAUAAGAUAACUGCAUGAUAUCACAUUCAAAAAUCAGUCUUUCUUGUAAAAUGUCUUCACAGUGCAGGAUUCCUGUUCGGUAGCUAGAAGACCCACUUUAAAGAAGAUGAGGAUUUAAUUCCCCUUUCACUGGCAGAGGUUCAAACCCACCGUUCCCACCUCUCAAGGGACACCCUAAUCAAUGAGCAACCAUCUGUUCAGGGUGCUCCUAUGUAACUUAUCCAACCUCCCAGUUCCUGUAUGGACAUUCCAUAAGUCCUUGGUCAAAUCUACCCAGUCCUCUGCAGACAGGAAGUUUCUGGAAGCAGCAGAAGCAUUGUGGAAGUAUGAACUUAAAGAAGAAAAGUUGACCCAACUUCUGAAAUUUUAACCUCCAUUUGCUACUUGUUUUCCAUCUUUCAAUGACAAUAAUUCACUUCAUCAGUGAAUCCCAAUUCAGAAAAGCGCAUGAAAGUCGUCUCCUGUGUCAGAACUCUUCCUUCCUUUGAAGCUCAAGAAAUUAUUUUAAUUGUGGGUUUUUUUUUAGCAAGUAAGGCUAAUCUCUGCAUCAGUCAUUCCAGAAAUAUGAAGAUGUAUUGUUUGCAAGGAAAAAGAAGGUAUAGGGAGUUCCAAUUAUAUGUUCUGGGAGAUUUCUUAGAAACAGUGAUCCACAGCGGUAACUGUGUGAAUGCGGAAGACAGUCUCCACUCCACAAAAGCCAGAAACUUUACAUUUUUGUACAGGCAAUAUGUCUCCCUUCUAAAAGCUAAAUAUUUAGAAUUCGUGUAUCAAUUGGAACUAUUUUUUCAAAACUCCAGAGCAAAACAAAAUAAAAUUAAGGGUGUGUAAAAAUUGAAUCAAAUACAGAAUGUGUCAGAAAUUAUUUUGUUUUGUCUGCAUAAUAAAUUUGUAAAUGUGGCUAAUAAAACCUCUCUA